GACGCGAGGCAAGAUAGACCUAUAGAGGCAAUCGCACAAUUAGAAAAAUCGAGUGUUGCUAGUAAACAAAACAUUUAUUUGAAUUUCUCUUACGGUUCUAUAAUGUUUAUAUUUAUUUUAUUUUUUGUUUAUAUUUAUUUUAAUUUUUAUUCAGACAAAUUAUUCGAUUGCGCACAACUCAUAAGUUCUGGUUGAUCUACUUUUAACUGCACUAGCAAAAACAAAGCAUGCAGCAGUAUAUGAGUUAAUAUAUUUAUAUCGUAUUAGGCCUUGUUUAGUUCACCCCGAAAUCCAAAAAGUUUCAAGAUUCUCUGUCACAUCGAAUCUUGCGGCACAUGCAUGA
rnacentral:lncRNA from 1 species